GUCCAUCUGGGCUGGGAAUGGGAUUGGGGGCCUAUGACCUCUGAGUCCUCAAUCAAGGAGUGGAACUUGAUCUCCCCCCCCCAAAAAAAGCAAAAAAUAGCUGGUUCAUCACUGCAACUAGCUAAUCACCAUCAGGACCUCUGGUCUUUCCUUCUUUUUCUAACUGCCCUCUCCCUGCAGGAAAAAAGCCAAUCUUCUCAAGAAUCUCCACAGAAACUCUGGCCACAUUCAGACACCAGUUCCUGAGAGAUCUGUGCAGGAGGGCCCAGCUUAUCAGCACUGUCUUUAGAUCCUCAGCUCUGAGAUCUCGGCUGCCUGUCUACUCCCAAGGCCACCUUCCAUUGGACAACAUUUGGUAGCAGAAAGAACUGAAGCAGCACUUGGCAUCCCAGGCCGUGUGGGACAGGGUUCAUAGACAGCGAAAUGUGGUCUGUUACCGUCAGAGCCCUCUGAAAGGUAUCAACCGGUCACUCCAAACACCUCCCAAUAAGAAAUAUAAGAAGCACUCUGAAGAAAUCAUUGUUACUAGACAUACCUAGACAACCAUUUCAGCCAAAAUAAUUGAGAAAGACCCACAAAGAGAUGGAUGAAGAGCAACACCAAAAGAGUUCAAAAUCACCUGAAAAGAAGCUAAAGACAGUUGAAUUCAAGAAAAAGAAAUGUGUUAGGUUUCUGUUACCCCAUAAAGCUGACAAGGAAAAGAAAUCCUCUUCCCUAGGAGAAACAGAGGAGUCAAAGUUCAGAUGUGAAUGCCAACACUGCCAGAUGUGUGAGGGGAACACAUCUGGGGUCUCUGUGGGACCUAGGACUGAAGCAGUCUCUCCGUCAUCCUCCUGGGAAAAUCUAACACUAGACCUCAGUAACUUGACACUCAACCCUCAUACCACCCAUCCCCAUCUUGUGCAAGACACCAUAUCCAAAGGAGAGAACAAAAUGCAGUGCCCAAGGAAAAACAAGAGGAUGUUUCAAAAGGUUCUCUACGAAUGGACAGAAUAACUCUGACACUGUCAUCGUCAUGAGAAGGAAGAUCCAAACCUACAGGACCAUGAGUAUCAACAUCUUUUGGGGAGCAACAUCAGGAGGAGUAAUGUCCAACCUGUUGAUAAUAAUACAGCUGGAUCGUGACUCGAAUCUAUUCCACAAAUGUAGCCAUCUUUUCCUUAGUAGUUUAGGCAUCUUCCCUUAGGCACUCUGGGAAGAGAUGUGGUUCUCAGUAAGGACGACCAAAUUGCAAUUUUUCUAUACUCCCCAUGUCAGUGUUCCCAUGGGAUUUGCUACCGAUUUUCCUCUCCUCGGGUUUGAGGUUUUCCUCCUUUACAUUGUUGCCAAU
rnacentral:lncRNA from 1 species